UACGUAGGGCGCAAGCGUUGUCCGGAAUUAUUGGGCGUAAAGGGCGCGUAGGCGGCUUGGCAAGUGGAAGGUGAAAUCCCUCGGCUUAACCGAGGAACUGCCCUCCAAACUGCUUUGCUUGAGGCCGGGAGAGGUGAGUGGAAUUCCCAGUGUAGCGGUGAAAUGCGUAGAUAUUGGGAGGAACACCAGUGGCGAAGGCGGCUCACUGGACCGGUUCUGACGCUGAGGCGCGAAAGCGUGGGGAGCAAACGGGG
rnacentral:rRNA from 1 species